rnacentral:siRNA from 1 species
GUCGCUUUGGCCGAGUGGUUAA